rnacentral:lncRNA from 1 species
AGGAAGGUAGUGACGUCAUAGGUAAACAGGCUCUGUAUCCGUGGCAGCGGCCGUGGCAGGCUGGCUGGGUACCGGCUGUCGCUGACCCAGGAGAAGCUGCCUGUCUACAUCAGCCUGGGCUGCAGCGCGCUGCCGCCGCGGGGCCGGCAGCCAUGGCCAAGGACAUCCUGGGUGAAGCAGGGCUACACUUUGAUGAACUGAACAAGCUGAGGGUGUUGGACCCAGAGGUUACCCAGCAGACCAUAGAGCUGAAGGAAGAGUGCAAAGACUUUGUGGACAGUGAGUAUUGGGGAGAUACAGUGCCACUCAGCUUUGAGCUGCCAUUUCAACUGUACCCCAGGCUCAUCUUGGCCCUGCCACAGUGGAGCUGCUGGCUCCCUGGAGGUUGAAUCUGGCGUCUGUGAGUUCCCACGUGCCACCCUUUUCUGUCUGCCCUCUUGUGCUCUCAUGUGUCCCCAACAGGGCACCAGUCAAACCAAACACCGGGAUGGGGAGGGGAGGGUGUCUUUAGAUAUGCCAUCUUUCAUUUCUUGCUCUUAGAAACCUUAAACUUUCUGGGAACACAACCAUGGCUUGGGUGUGGGAAAUAGAAUUAUGUACUCAUGAUUUGAUUUCUUCAGAGAAAGUCUUCUCAGGGGCAGGUUCUCUGUUAUUUGGAGUUAGAAGUGAUAGGUGAAGUUUCUAGAAGCAGCUCAACAGACUUACUGAAGUCAUCUUUUGGCUGGAAAUCUUCAGGAAGCCUCCUGUCCCAG